UAUAGUUUACUGUAUGUUUAUAUGCUCUGUUAUAAUGAAAGUCUUAUACGCAGAGUAUGUAUGUAUCUACAUAUAAACAAAACAAGAAAUGGUCGUAUGCUUGUCCUUGAGCCAAGCAAGGCACUCGCGCUUGUCUCACAGUCGAGCGUUGUCCUUUGUGGUGUGAACAGCUCUUUCGAACGUGUAGGAAUUUCUUUCUUUUCAUCCGUAUUUUCUACAAUAAUUAUAACGAGAAGGAGAGAAAGAGGAAGAGAGAGAGAGAGACAGAGACAGAGAGAGAGAGAGAGAGAGAGAAAAUAAUGACUAGAUAUAGAGGACGAUCGAAGCGAAUGAGUCAGCAAAUCGCAAUCAGACGAGAUCCAACGUUCUUUUUCCAAGUUCAAUGACCGAAGAUAACUCUCGUUAUCGGUUCGUCUACCAACUCAAUAUCGAACGUAGCUCUCUCUCUCUCUCUCUCUCUCUCCAUCUUUCUCACUCUCUAUCUCUGAGGGUCUUUACAUCUCGAUGCACGUUUGUCGCGGACACCAAGCCGUUGGGGUGGUGGUGAGAUCGGUCGAGGGUGAACGCAUAGUUGCACCGAGGGCAGCAACGAAGUACUCUAGUAGUAAACUAAACCGCUUAUCGGACGAAUACCUCAACGUUACCAAAUGCCAAGGAGAAAUUCCGCUACUCUUCACUGAAAACUGUUGCCUGUCGUCGAAAAGACCUCCGCUUAUGUUACAAAGUACAAGAUUCAUCGAUAUGUGGCAACGAAUCCACAAGGAAGCACAAUAGAGGACAUCGAUAUCUGUAACUUUGUCCGUAUAAUGGAUUUUACGGGGAACUUCUAGCAUAACGAUGAUCCGGUGACCCAAUGCUGUCAUCGAAAAUAAAUCGACUUCGUUCAUCGA